UCGGAGAUGGGGGCAAGGCCUGAAAAGUUCAGCUACUUUAGAUGAGUUGUGCCAGAGAAUCACCGGUUGAGGUGACUGAAAGUUCUGAACUGGGGGUGGCCAAAAGCAUCCUCCUCAGAUGGGAACAUCCCAAAAGUCUGCAGAAGCUCAGCCUCUGAGGUGAACGUUGUGGCCCAAACGUCUCUCUGCUCUGUACCUCGCAGGAUUGCAGCCGGCUGUUCCAAUCCAGGAGGAAAACUCUGCCACUGAAAUCUCACAGCCCCUGUGCAGUGAAGUGCCACUUAAACCCACUGUGAUGCACAGACCUUGCCCUGGCUGUCUGCACAGGCCUGAAUUUCACCCCUUCAGAGUGUAUUCUAAGGGCACCCCGUGCUUCAUAUGGGCAUUCUUGGGUGGGCAGAUUGCAUCAGACCUGCACCUUAAUAAAUAAUAGUGAAUGAAAUAUGCAGACACUAAAGUCCUGCAGACAAAUUCGCAGAAACCUUCCUCUUCAAUGUAGGACCAGGAUUUUGUAUUUAAUUGAUGUUUUUUAAAGUGCUGAGCAGAUGCUACACUGUAAGGAGAGGAAAUAGAAGCAAAAACUGAAAGAAUGUUACUUAAACCGGUGAACAGAUGCAGAGAGUGGAGACACAACAAAGCAAACAAAUGAAUACUGUGAGUAAAUAACAUGAAAGCAAAUGGGGGGGAAACCCUCAUCUGGGUAAUUGUGGCUCUUGGCACAAAGAUCAGGUUCCUGGUACUAGCCUGGCUGAAAGCAUCCCUUAUCCCUGGAUCCCAGACCUAGGAUACAGAUGUCAUUCUCUGUUUGGUGUCCUUAUUUUACUCCUAGGAAAAGGAUCCCCAAAGGAGGUGUAAGGAUCCUGGACUGUGGUACCUGUAAGCAGCUUCAGCCACCUUCACAGGUAAAAGUCACUGUCUUUCCUACAAUGCCACUAGUGCCCUUUCUGCUCUCCAGGUCUGCUCCCUCCAGCAGGUCAGAGACACCCCUUAACUCCCCAAGUCCUGAUUUCUUGCCAUUCAAGGGGCUGAGGGCUUCCAUUGCCCCCACCCCCACCAUCAGAUACUUUUCCUAUGGGGAGAAAUCUGUUCUUCUCUUAGAAGCAGUCUGCUCAGUAAAUCCACCCACAUGGACCUCAUCUCAGCUGCUUUGUUUAUCUGAGAUUAGUGGUAUCUUUGGAAAACGCUUAGGGUGCCGGGGUGUGAGGUGGAGCAGGUGAGACGGGAGCUCCAGCAGAUUCCCCUGAAGAACACCACCCUGUCUUUCUCUGGUCAGGCUAGAGCUCACCAUCCAUUGUGGAGGUGAAGACCGGAUGGGAGCUGCUGGAUUGACUUUGAUGUGCCAUGUCCUUGUGUGGAUGAAAGACCUACGUCUCAGAGAUUGCCAGCAGCAGAUGUAACACGUGUCCAGGAAUAGGCUAAACAACCUACAGUGAUAGAUCAUCAGCUGCGCAGCAGAAUGCAGGAGAGCUGAGUGCGGAUGGGCUAGAGGGGUCACAGGAGUCACCGCACGGCUGUGCAGCAGGUGCAGUGUCUGCAGUCAUCACAGGCCAAACCCUGCGCUCCAGACAACCCAGGCUCUUUCUCUGGAUUGCGAAGGGGACUUUAGCUUUAGCCGUUUUCAUGUUUGCAAUUAAAGGAAGCCAGAUAUCUAGCUACUUGAGAGCCCCCUUGUUCCA